rnacentral:rRNA from 1 species
UGGAGAGUUUGAUCCUGGCUCAGGGACGAACGCUGGCGGCGUGCUUAACACAUGCAAGUCGAGCGGUAAGGCCUUUCGGGGUACACGAGCGGCGAACGGGUGAGUAACACGUGGGUGAUCUGCCCUGCACUUCGGGAUAAGCCUGGGAAACUGGGUCUAAUACCGGAUAUGACCUCCUAUCGCAUGGUGGGUGGUGGAAAGAUUUAUCGGUGCAGGAUGGGCCCGCGGCCUAUCAGCUUGUUGGUGGGGUAAUGGCCUACCAAGGCGACGACGGGUAGCCGACCUGAGAGGGUGACCGGCCACACUGGGACUGAGACACGGCCCAGACUCCUACGGGAGGCAGCAGUGGGGAAUAUUGCACCAAUGGGCGAAAGCCUGAUGCAGCGACGCCGCGUGAGGGAUGACGGCCUUCGGGUUGUAAACCUCUUUCAGCAGGGACGAAGCGCAAGUGACGGUACCUGCAGAAGAAGCACCGGCUAACUACGUGCCAGCAGCCCGGGGGGA